ACCUGAGCAGUAUUUAGACUGGA
rnacentral:misc_RNA from 1 species